GGAGUUAGCCGGUGCUUCUUCUGUGAGUGAUGUCCUUCCUGCCGGCUAUUAACCCGCAGGCCUUCUUCCUCACUGAAAGUGCUUUACAACCCGAAGGCCUUCUUCACACACGCGGCAUGGCUGGAUCAGGGUUGCCCCCAUUGUCCAAUAUUCCCCACUGCUGCCUCCCGUAGGAGUCUGGGCCGUGUCUCAGUCCCAGUGUGGCUGAUCAUCCUCUCAGACCAGCUACGGAUCGUCGCCUUGGUGAGCCGUUACCUCACCAACCAGCUAAUCCGACAUAGGCUCAUCCGAUAGCGCGAGGCCCGAAGGUCCCCCGCUUUCCCCCGUAGGGCGUAUGCGGUAUUAGCCUGGGUUUCCCCAGGUUAUCCCCCACUACCGGGCAGAUUCCUAUGCAUUACUCACCCGUCCGCCGCUCGCCACCAGGGAGCAAGCUCCCCGUGCUGCCGCUCGACUUGCAUGUGUAGCNGCGCCAGCGUCAUCUGAGCGAGAUCAACUACUGA
rnacentral:rRNA from 1 species